AAAAAAAAUUCCUUAUCCCUUCCCUAUCUUGCAGCGGUUUGGUGAUUUUGGUGAUUGGUCGAAAGGUGAGUGCAGCGGUGGUGGCGACGAUCUCCCUUCCCCUAUCUACGAGUUCAUAGUGGGUUAUGCAUGGAAGUUCUGUUCCUUUGCUUCAAAAGAUUGAUAUUCGCAUUUUGAGUCAGCCUUGUAGUUCAUCAUCAUGUGAGAGAAAUUGGAGUGCUUUUGAUGCAGUGCAAAACAAGAAAAGAAAUAAAUUCACUCUUAACAUGUUGAAAGAUUUGGUUUAUAUAAGGAUGAAUUCUCUUAUGAAAAUCAAGUCAAAAGACAUUAAGAAGUUCAGUAAGGAGUCAUUUAACUUAGAUAAACUUGUUGAUAUUCAAAUAAUUGAAGAAUCAUGAAGUUAAAGUUGAAGAUGAAGAGGGUGCACGAAGGAAAGAUGAUCAAACAUUACUUGAUAGAGAACUUGGGAUUGGAUCUGUACUGGAUUUUGAUUAUAUUAACACUCCAAUUUAUAGUGGCACUCUAAGUCAGCUGCGUAAUAUCACUUAUACUCCUUUCACACAUGAUUCAGAGACACAAGCACCAUUUGAUAUGAACAACUGAAGUUUUUUCUUCUUUAUGGCAUGAAUUAUGUUUUGUGGAUUUCACUACUUCUUUAAGACAUGGACCAUUUGAUAUGAGUAUUUUCUUAUUGUAUUUUACGGGUCA